UAAGACAGAGGUCUCAAGCGUUAGGCGGAAUCACUGGGCUUAAAGCGUGUGUAGGCGGAUCGUUAAGUGCCUUGUGAAAUCCCACGGCUCAACCGUGGAACUGCUUGGCAUACUGGCGGUCUUGAGCCAUCUAGGGGUCGCUGGAACAAACGGUGGAGCGGUGAAAUGCGUAGAUAUCGUUUGGAACGCCAAUGGUGAAAACAGGCGACUGGGGAUGUGCUGACGCUGAGACACGAAAGCCAGGGGAGCAAACGGGAUUAGAUACCCCGGUAGUCCUGGCCCUAAACGAUGUCCACUAGAUCGCAGUAUCUCUGACGGUUUUGCGGUCGAAGCAAAAGUGCUAAGUGGACCGCCUGGGAAGUACGGUCGCAAGGCUA
rnacentral:rRNA from 1 species